rnacentral:lncRNA from 1 species
CAGCCACAGUGAACUAGAGAGACGCGUCUGCCAGGGAGAGCCUGCACCUCCCACAAGGUGUCGUCUGUGCUGGCUUCUGGAGCCUUUGACCACUGCUUUCCAUCUGGGAUUCUGUGUUCACAGGGGGAACAAAAGGCCUGAGAAACACCACGUACGUGACUUGGUCUUCAUGGUCUCUUCUCUCCUGUAAUUGUAGGUGGCCUCAGGAAAGGAGUCUGUAUUCUGCAAUCACUGACUUGCUGCUGAAAAAUCCAGAUGAAAAGAAAGGCGGGGCUUUCCUGCUGGCUUCAGUCUGGAGAUCUGACUCCAGCUUCCUGCUGGCCACCAGGCAGGGGUGGUGGAAGGAGCGGUUUUUGCAGGUAAAGAACCGUGGCCUCAUCGUACAGUCCCUGGAGCAGCCAUGUCCCUCUAGGUGGGUGGGUUUUUGUGCAUGGGGCUCUGGGGGGUCUGCGUGGGUGUCGUGUGGUGUGACUGUGAAUGUGUGUGGGAGUGUGUCUCCUCAGGGGAUGUGUCCCACCUACACAGCACAGGUGCCUCAUCUACAUUCUCCAAGGGAACCCCACCGCCGCUGUGGGCUUUCCACACAUUGACGCAUUCAUGGCUCACCACAGCCUUGCCCACGGGCUUUCCAGCCCCACGCCUCGGAAAAUGAGGUACAGAGAAUGACCCAGGCUCCUGAGCUUCUCUGUGAGAGAGCUGCAGGGCAGACGACUUCGAUCAUAAACUACCAAGAUACCUGGAGCGAUCAGAUGAGCCUCGGCCUACUCUUGAAGCUAAAGGAAGGCUGCUAGCAAGACUGGCAUCUGGGCUUGGCUGUGCGUGUUUUCCAUUGUGGGAAAAUAUACAUAACACAAUAUUUGUAAUUUGAACCUUUUAACCAAAGUGUGCACGCAGUGGCAUUGAAUAUAUUCACUUACACUUAAGGCACAAUGACAAGGCAGCAAAGGGCUGUUGGGUGAUUAGUUCACCACACUUGUUGCAACUGUUUGUACUGCAGAGUUAAAACAUACCAGCAUUCAACCCAUGUCUCCUCUCUUGAAAUAAACUGUCCCCUUUGCAAGGGACCUAAAUCUCCA